CUGGAUCUGACUGCUAUCCUGAAAAUUUUUGUAUCUGCAGAAGGAGCUUCUUUGAUCUGCAAUGAUCUAUGGAUCCGAAUGUUUCAUUCAGAGCAUACUUGUACAGUUCUGCAGAAAAUUCACCAUUUGUGAAACCUAGAACUCGUGAAGAAUUUCAAGGCCAAGAAAAGUACCCAAAUGAAACGUGGCAGCCUGAUGAAUCAAGGAAGUGGAAUUCGGAAGCAUCAAAACCUGAUAGUCUGAAAGUAUCGAGUAUAAAUUCCCUAUAGGAUAA